rnacentral:rRNA from 1 species
GUACACGCUGUGACUAGCAUAUCAAUAAGCGGAGGAAAAGAAACUAACAAGGAUUCCCCUAGUAACGGCGAGUGAAGCGGGAAGAGCUCAAAUUUGAAAUCUUAAAGGGUUUCCCUUUACGAAUUGUAGUUUAAAGAAGUGUUUUCUGUUGAGGUUUUGGUAAAAGUUCUUUGGAAUAGGACAUCAUAGAGGGUGAGAAUCCCGUAUUUGACCUUUACUUUCAACUUUGUGAUACACUUUCAAAGAGUCGGAUUGUUUGGGAAUGCAGUCCAAAAUGGGUGGUAAAUUUCAUCUAAAGCUAAAUAUUGGCGAGAGACCGAUAGCGAACAAGUACCGUGAGGGAAAGAUGAAAAGAACUUUGAAGAGAGAGUUAAACAGUACGUGAAAUUGUCAAAAGGGAAGCGUUUGACACCAGUGUUGUUUUUCUGAAAAUCAAUUAAAGAACUGUUUAUGCUAAGUUGUUUAGACUUUAUCAGCUAACUGUUUAGUUUUGAGCUUUUCUUUAAUGCACUUUUCAGUUAACAAGUCAACAUCAAUUUCUUUUGCUGUAAAAAAGCUUGAGGAAGGUGGCUUGAGAUUCGUCUUAAGUGUUUAUAGCCUCUUGCCUAUGCAGUCGGAGAGAUUGAGGUCUGCAGCGUAGAUCCUUCGGGGCUAAAUGCAUUUGUGCUAAGUUAUAGCAUUUCAUAGACAACUUGUUGACUAUGAUUUGUCUUGUAGCUUACUCGCUUAUGUUAUUUUACCUACGCUUAGGAUGUUGACGCGCGUGUGUGCGUG